rnacentral:tRNA from 2 species
GGAGAGGUGGCAGAGUGGUUGAAUGCGGCGGUCUUGAAAACCGCUUUCCGCGUAAGCGGAACGGGGGUUCGAAUCCCUCCCUCUCCGCCA